AGGGCACCACCAGGAGUGGAGCCUGCGGCUUAAUUUGACUCAACACGGGGAAACUCACCCGGCCCGGACACCGUAAGGAUUGACAGAUUGAUAGCUUUUUCAUGAUUCGGUGGAUGGUGGUGCAUGGCCGUUCUUAGUUCGUGGGGCGAUUUGUCUGGUUUAUUCCGAUAACGAGCGAGACUCUAGCCUACUAAAUAGUUCGCACAUUGUCUCUGUGUGUGUGACUUCUUAGAGGGAUUUUCGGUGUUCAGCCGCACGAAAUUGAGCAAUAACAGGUCUGUGAUGCCCUUAGAUGUCCGGGGCUGCACGCGCGCUACACUGGCAAAAUCAGCGUGCUUGUCCUUCCCCGAAAGGGGUUGGUAAACCCUUGAAAAUUUGCCGUGAUUGGGAUUGGAAAUUGCAAUUAUUUUCCAUGAACGAGGAAUUCCAAGUAAGUGCGAGUCAUCAGCUCGCGUUGAUUACGUCCCUGCCCUUUGUACACACCGCCCGUCGCUGCCCGGGACUGAGCCAUUUCGAGAA
rnacentral:rRNA from 1 species